GGCAAGAUGGCCGAGCGGUCUAAGGCGCUGCACUCAAGAUACGAUAUAUCUUAAGCCUCGUAGAGGUUUGCAGUCUCGCAAGAGGCGGGGGUUCGAAUCCCCCUCUUGUCA